rnacentral:rRNA from 1 species
GACGAACGCUGGCGGCGUGCUUAACACAUGCAAGUCGAACGGAAAGGCCCUGCUUUUGUGGGGUGCUCGAGUGGCGAACGGGUGAGGAACACGAGAGUAACCUGCCCUUGACUUUGGGAUAACUUCAGGAAACGGGGGCGAAGACCGGACAGGAGCUCCUGCUGCAGUGGGGGGGUGGGAAAGUGUCGGCGGUUGGGGAUGGACUCGCGGCUUAUCAGCUUGUUGGUGGGGUAGUGGCUGACCAAGGCUUUGACGGGUAGCCGGCCUGAGAGGGUGACCGGCCACAUUGGGACUGAGAUACGGCCCAGACUCCUACGGGAGGCAGCAGUGGGGAAUAUUGCACAAUGGGCGGAAGCCUGAUGCAGCAACGCCGCGUGCGGGAUGACGGCCUUCGGGUUGUAAACCGCUUUCGCCUGUGACGAAGCGUGAGUGACGGUAAUGGGUAAAGAAGCACCGGCUAACUACGUG